rnacentral:rRNA from 1 species
CUUAACACAUGCAAGUCGAGCGCCCCGCAAGGGGAGCGGCAGACGGGUGAGCAACGCGUGGGAACGUACCUUUUGCUACGGAAUAACUCAGGGAAACUUGUGCUAAUACCGUAUGUGCCCUUCGGGGGAAAGAUUUAUCGCCAUUGGAGCGGCCCGCGUCUGAUUAGCUAGUUGGUGAGGUAAAGGCUCACCAAGGCGACGAUCAGUAGCUGGUCUGAGAGGAUGAUCAGCCACAUUGGGACUGAGACACGGCCCAAACUCCUACGGGAGGCAGCAGUGGGAAAUCUUGCGCAAUGGGCGAAAGCCUGACGCAGCCAUGCCGCGUGAAUGAUGAAGGCCUUAGGAUUGUAAAAUUCUUUCACCGGGGACGAUAAUGACGGUACCCGGAGAAGAGGCCCCGGCUAACUUCGUGCCAGCAGCCGCGGUAAUACGAAGGGGGCUAGCGUUGCUCGGAAUUACUGGGCGUAAAGGGAGCGUAGGCGGACAUUUAAGUCAGGGGUGAAAUCCCGGGGCUCAACCUCGGAAUUGCCUUUGAUACUGGGUGUCUUGAGUAUGAGAGAGGUGUGUGGAACUCCGAGUGUAGAGGUGAAAUUCGUAGAUAUUCGGAAGAACACCAGUGGCGAAGGCGACACACUGGCUCAUUACUGACGCUGAGGCUCGAAAGCGUGGGGAGCAAACAGGAUUAGAUACCCUGGUAGUCCACGCCGUAAACGAUGAUUGCUAGUUGUCGGGAUGCAUGCAUUUCGGUGACGCAGCUAACGCAUUAAGCAAUCCGCCUGGGGAGUACGGUCGCAAGAUUAAAACUCAAAGGAAUUGACGG